CAAUCAGCUUGCCAAAUUCCGCCACGCACUCCCACGAUGCAUGGAGGAGUUCUCCAGAAAGCGAAUUGAGGACAACAUCGACCCCUCUGCCGUUAGUUUCUUGGAGCAGGCUGUUACGGAACGAUGAAUCGUGGGAGGAGAAGAUGUGAGCCCUUGGGAUCCCAAAAGCUGCUACCAGAUGUUCAACCUUUUCUUGACUUCCAACGGUAGCAUAGACUUCUGCACCUAUCAUUUGGCUGAGCUGGAUCGCCGCAAUGCCGACUCCACCACAGGCAGAAUGGAUAAGAAUAGACUUCAGAGGUAAAGUCAGCAGGUUUAUUGAAUGGUUCAGUGUACGAAUGGUCACAAUCUUACCUGGCCCUUCUCCAAGCGUGCUACAUGAAUCAAAGAGUAAAUCACAGUCCCAUAGACGCAGGGCAUCGUCGCCGCAUCCUCAAAGCUCAGGCCAUCAGGGAGUUUGACACAGUACUCAGGGCGAACUCUGACAGUUGUGGCAAAACACUCCCCAGGAAAUGCUGCAACGCGGUCGCCAAUACAGAAGGUUUUAACAUUUCUACCAACGUGUUUCACCACGCCAGUAAUUUCGCCUCCCCGACCUUUGGCAUACGGUUCAAUGAUACCAAGGGCAAGUAUUACGUGCUAAACGG
rnacentral:sRNA from 2 species